rnacentral:rRNA from 1 species
AUACGUAGGGGGCGAGCGUUGUCCGGAAUGAUUGGGCGUAAGGGCGCGUAGGCGGCGCGGUAAGUCUGGAGUGAAAGUCCUGCUUUCAAGGUGGGAAUUGCUUUGGAUACUGCCGCGCUUGAGUGCAGGAGAGGUUAUCGGAAUUCCCGGUGUAGCGGUGAAAUGCGUAGAGAUCGGGAGGAACACCAGUGGCGAAGGCGGGUAACUGGACUGCAACUGACGCUGAGGCGCGAAAGUGUGGGGAGCAAACAGGAUUAGAUACCCUGGUAGUCCACACUGUAAACGAUGAAUGCUAGGUGUAAGAGGUAUCGACCCCUUUUGUGCCGGAGUCAACACAAUAAGCAUUCCGCCUGGGGAGUACGGCCGCAAGGUUGAAACUCAAAUGAAUUGACGGGG